rnacentral:lncRNA from 1 species
UGGCGGUCGGCUUGAUAUUGAGGUGCUCAGUUUUAACGACAUGGCGGUCGGCUUGAGUUGAGUUACUUAUUUUAACGACGUGGUGGUCAGUUUGAAGUUGAAUCGCUUAUUUUAACGAUAUGGCGGUCAGCUUGAGUUGAGUCGCUCAGUUUAGUGACGUGGUAGUUCGCUUGAGUUGAGUCGCCCAGUUUAACAACGUGGCAGUCGGCUUGAGUUGAGUCGUUCAGUUUAACGAUGUGGCGGUCGGCUUGAUUUGAAUUGCUCAGUUUAACGACGUGGCGGUCAGCUUGAAUUUGGGUUUAUUAGUUUAACGACUUUGCGGUUGUUUGAAUUUAGAUUUAGUUUAAUGACUUUAUGGUCGUUUGAAUUUGAUUGUUUAGUUUAACGACUUUGCGGUCGUUUGAAUUUGGGUUUGUUAGUUUAAUGAUUUCACGGUCAUUUGGAUUUGGGUUUGUUAGUUUAACGACUUUGAGGUCGUUUGGAUUUGGGUUUAGUUUAACGACUUUACGGUCAUUUGAAUUUUGGUGUAGUUUAGCGACUUUACGGUCGUUUGAAUUUGGAUUUAGUUUAGCGACUUUACGGUCGUUUGGAUUUGAUUAUUUAGUUUAGCAACUUUGCGGUCGUUUGAUUUUGUGUUUAGUUUAGCGAUUUUGCGGUCGUAGGUUUUAUUUGUGGACCUUGGAUUUUAGGAUUUUAUUUUUAGACUUUGUUGGCUUAAAUGGGUCAGCAUCCUGCCCAGUGGCGGAAGGCCAUGUUGGGCCGAGUCAUGUUCGAAAUGGCGUGAGGCUGGGUGGGCCGAGUCAUAUUCGAAGUGGCGUGAGGCUGGUUGGGCCGAGUCACAAUCGAGACCCGUGAGCGCUAUUUCUGUACGCUUUAAGUGAAUUGGUUGCGUAUUUCCAACAGCUCGAGCUUUUGGGAUUAAUGGUUAGCGCCAACGAUCCGAUAGACUUUAGGUUUUGGAUUUUAUUUAUGGAUUUUGGAUUCUGGGAUUUAAUUUGUGGACUUUGGAUUUUGGGGUUUUAUUUGUGGACUUUGGGUUUUAUUUAUAGUCCGAAAUGGACUGAACUAUUGCUUAGGUUGGAUUUAGGUUGAGUUGG